GCCCUAUGGGUUGUAAACUGCUUUUAAGCGGGGAUAAAGUCAGGGACGUGUCCCUGUUUGCAGGUACCGCUUGAAUAAGGACCGGCUAAUUCCGUGCCAGCAGCCGCGGUAAUACGGAAGGUCCGGGCGUUAUCCGGAUUUAUUGGGUUUAAAGGGAGCGUACGCGGGACUCCAAGUCAGCUGUGAAAUGCCAUGGCUCAACCAUGGAGCUGCAGUUGAAACUGGUGUUCUUGAGUUGUCGCAGGGGCGGUGGAACUCGUGGUGUAGCGGUGAAAUGCUUAGAUAUCACGAAGAACUCCGAUCGCGAAGGCAGCCGCCCGG
rnacentral:rRNA from 1 species